ACUGGACAGGGGCCGGGACAGCCCACCCCCGGCGCGCUCCCAUAGGCCGGCUGUGAGCACCGCCUGGCGCCGAUUGGUUGUAAAUGGCUACUGAGUCAUUUCAUAGGCGCUCCCACGCACCGGAUGGCGCAGGUAGGCAGUGCGUGAUCAGACACUGGUGACCAAUCGGGAUACGCAGGCGUACACGUGCACAGGCCGCUUAUUGGCUGGGGAAACGCACAGUCCUGGGGCACUGACCAAUAGUGAGGCGGUGCGCCCAUGUGGACAGAUAGUGGGAAACAAUAUUUGUUAGGGAGGGGGCGGAACCGGGAAUCUCCGGCUCGCAGAGUGUCCCCGUUCUCAUGGUUACGAACGGGGGCGGGGUUUUUGGCAGCUUGGGGACUGUUUGCAGAAGUCGCUGGGUUUUUGCAUUGGUAUAUGACGUUGUGACUGCAACUGGCUUGUGUUUAUGAUUUAAUCUGCAGGACUAUGGGGAAAUAGAUACCCUGGAAAAUGGAACUCAGCAAUAAUUCUCCUGUCUGCGGCUGGUCCUGCUGGUCCAGCCCAGCUGGAGCGUGAAGGUGAGAUGCUGACUGCAGGGGAUGAUGGAACAGAGACGCUGAGACGCAACAUCUUGCCCCAUUUUCCCAGCCGCUGCCCCUGGGGCUGAUGCCAAUCCUGCCUGCAUCCGCGUUACAGCAUCAGCGUUAGCUCCGCUGCAACGACUUGUGAAUGAACUGUUAAAAGACUAAGCAGCUCCCAGCAGAAGCAGAGCCCAGCAAUAUGCAGCCUGUUGUCUGUCAGAUGAUACAGUAGCAGUCCCAGUGAGGGGCCCAGCACGCACACCCCAGGAGAGAAAGUCUUGCUGCAUGGGACAUAGGAGAUGCAGAAAAGCCAUCGAAGAGGAGACGCUGAAGCACCAUAUGCUACUGGGCCUUUGUGUGUGUGCGUGCAUGUCAGGGAAGGCGGAGAGACAAACAACAGCAGAAGCUGGCACAAGGCUCAGGCUGGAACAUCCACCAAGAUGAGGCAGGUACUCAAAUGGUCCUGGACGCACGCACUUGCUUUCCUUCUUCAUUUUGGACUAAAAGAAUGUUCUUAAUUUUGGAACAAAGGAACAGCAGCAAAGCAUGCUCAGCCAAAACGAAAGUAAGGAGAGAGGGAAAGGAGCAGAGGACCCAUAUGCUCGUGUUCAUCCAAACAAGCCACGCUUCCUUCUGAAACUGGGGAUAAGCCACACUGUACUGUAACCAGCCAUUGCCUACCAAGUCCUGAUUUCCUUAACCACAUCCUACAAAGUGCCAGGUAAGCGCAGUUCCCCUCAGGGGAACCAUGUUUGUACAAAGGAAGUA